CGUUUUCUAGGCCCGGGCUCGGCCCAGCCCGAAAUAUGGGCAUGAGAUUUUUCCCAGGCCCGGUCCAGGAAAAAAAUAUGGGCCCAAGCCCGGCCCGGCCCAGCCCGGCCCGUUUUGCAUUGAAAUUAAAAUUGUUUUUCUAAUAAAAUUAAAACUAAUUAAAAUCUAGCACAUUUACCACUUAAUUAUUUGAUUGAAUCAUAGAUUAACAGAAAGCUAAUUGACAAAUUUCAUAUAAACUUUUAUUAUAGAUUAACAGACAGAAAUGGAAGGGAAUAUAUAUAUAUUUCAACAACACUUUUAUUAUACACUUCUAUAAACUUAGACAGAAAUAAACAGAAAAUAAGACCUUCAUAAUGGAAAAAUCUUCAUAAUUGAAUUAAACCCAAAAGUUCGAAAUAACUAUUCCUCAAGAAUUACAUGACUUAACCAACUAUUCCCCAGGAAUUACAUAAAGCACUACAAGAUGAAUCACUCAAGCACACUAUAAUAAUCCAUAAACAUAAUCUUUAAGAGCUAUGCAAAAUCUUAUAGCAUGCUAAUUAUACCUAAAAACAGAAAAUAAGACCUUCAUAAUGGAAAAAUCUUCAUAAUUGAAUUAAACCCAAAAGUUCGAAAUAACUAUUCCUCAAGAAUUACAUGACUUAACCAACUAUUCCCCAGGAAUUACAUAAAGCACUACAAGAUGAAUCACUCAAGCACACUAUAAUAAUCCAUAAACAUAAUCUUUAAGAGCUAUGCAAAAUCUUAUAGCAUGCUAAUUAUACCUAAAAACAUGUUUACAACAUAAUCAACUUCCAAGACCUAUCCACGAAUCAACAGCAACAUGAUUUUUCAUUUUGCAUUUCAGUAAACAUCAUCAAUCACUUAUUUUUCUUCUCUUUUGCCUUCGAACUUUUACCCAUUUUUUUAGCUUCAAAUUCAUCACCAAAAUAAUAAAUUAAGCAACAAUAAAAAUAAAUUUCAAAUAUAUUGAAAUGAUGCAAUUUGAUAGAAACAAACAGAGCAUUGGCACAUGUUAUCUGCAUAUGUUACCCUAUUUAAAGGAAUAAACUAAACCCAAUUCGCAAUUCAAAAGGCCAAAAAGCUAACCUCUAACGUGAAUUCAAUCUGUAAUUAAUUUCUCAAAACUUGCUUUAUCUAAUUUAACAUUCUUAUAUGUCGAUGUGGUAUAGUUCUAGAAUAGUCAACAUUGGUUAACAUUCAGCAAAAGGAUGCCCCAAAUGAAGUGUGUGUAACUUCAGUAGAAAGAAGUUGAAAGAAAACUGCAAUUAGAAAUGAAGUAAGAAUGUUAAAUUAAGUAAACAAAACACAUCAUGCCUGUAUGUUUUGUAACUAAAAUUAAGCGAAUCAUCUUGAGAGGUAAAAGAGUGGGUAAUCUGCAGAAAGUGGGAACUUAGCAUUAUCUACUCUUGAUUUCAGUCUGCAUUUCAGGUUAUUGCUGUUUUGAUGCAUAAAUUCAUUGAAAGAACAAUUGUUUUUAAUAAAGAGAAUGAAAACGAAGAAACCGAAGAAGAUGAGCAAACCCGUACCUGUAACAAACCGACCGGAGGUGGAUCGGUGGAUGUCUUGACGGUGGAGGUGGAUCGGUAUUGGAAGACUCUGUCGAUUUUGGAAAUGGAAAAAAAAUGGAGGAAGUCACAGCCGCACAGCACAAUAGAUAGGGUUAGGGAUUUUGUCUCUGUCAGUGUAAGGAAAUGAAUGUAAAU
rnacentral:lncRNA from 1 species